rnacentral:tRNA from 1 species
GGAUUGUAACUCAGUGGUAGAGUGCUUGCCUAGCAUGUGUGAGGCACUGGGUUUGAUUCUCAGCAUAAGGUCCA